AGCAGCCGCGGUAAUUCCAGCUCCAAUAGCGUAUAUUAAAGUUGUUGCAGUUAAAAAGCUCGUAGUUGAAUUUCGGGAUCAAUACGUCGGUCGUGCUUCGGUACGUACUGGCGUCAUUGAUUUCUCCCUUCUGACGAACCAUGAUGUCAUUAACUUGGUGUCAUGGGAAAUCAGGACUGUUACUUUGAAAAAAUUAGAGUGUUUAAAGCAGGCUCACGCUUGAAUACAUUAGCAUGGAAUAAUGAAAUAGGACGUUCGAUCCUAUUUUGUUGGUUUUAGGAUCAACGUAAUGAUUAAUAGGGAUAGUUGGGGGCAUUAGUAUUCAAUUGUCAGAGGUGAAAUUCUUGGAUUUAUUGAAGACUAACUACUGCGAAAGCAUUUGCCAAGGAUGUUUUCAUUAAUCAAGAACGAAAGUUAGGGGAUCGAAGACGAUCAGAUACCGUCGUAGUCUUAACCAUAAACUAUGCCGACUAGGGAUCGGAUGAUGUUAAUUUUUAAUGA
rnacentral:rRNA from 1 species